rnacentral:rRNA from 1 species
GGGUCAGUAGGUUGGUCGUGCUACCGUUACGUACUGGCCUCACUGAUUCCUCCUUCCUGAAGAACCGUAAUGCCAUUAAUUUGGUGUUGCGGGGAAACAGGACUGUUACUUUGAAAAAAUUAGAGUGUUUAAAGCAAGCUAACGCUUGAAUACAUUAGCAUGGAAUAAUGAAAUAGGACGAUCGAUCCUAUUUUGUUGGUUUCUAGGAUUGACGUA